rnacentral:rRNA from 1 species
GACGAACGCUGGCGGCGUGGAUUAGGCAUGCAAGUCGAACGGUAGGAUACCUUCGGGUAUCUGAGAGUGGCGAACGGGUGAGUAACACGUAGGUGAUCUACCCUCAAGAUUGGGACAACCCAGGGAAACUUGGGCUAAUACCGGAUGAAAGCAGCAGUGAUGUUGUUUGAAAGGUGGCGUAAGCUGCCGUUUGGGGAUGAGCCUGCGCUCUAUUAGUUAGUUGGCGGGGUAAAGGCCCACCAAGGCGAUGAUAGAUAGGCGGCCUUAACGGGUGGUCGCCCACACUGGGAUUGAGAUACGGCCCAGACUCCUACGGGAGGCAGCAGUCGAGAAUAGUCUACAAUGGCCGAAAGGCUGAUAGUGCGACGCCGCGUGAACGAAGAAGCCCUUCGGGUGUAAGUUCUUUUAUAUGUGAGCAGUGCUUUCUAUGUGAACAGCAUGGGGAGAGAGAUAUUAGCAUAUGAAUAAGCAACGGCUAACUCCGUGCCAGCACG